CGGGCAGAUCACGAGGUCAGGAGAUCGAGACCAUCCUGGCUAACACGGUGAAACCCCGUCUCUACUAAAAAUACAAAAAAUUAGCCGGGCGUGGUGGCGGACGCCUGUAGUCCCAGCUACCCGGGAGGCUGAGGCAGGAGAAUGGCGUGAACCUGGGAGGCAGAGCUUGCAGUGAGCUGAGAUCGCGCCACUGCACUCCAGCCUGGGCGACAGAGCGAGACUCCGUCUCAAAAAAAAAAAAAAAAAAGAGUCCCAAGGAGAAAUUGGAGAGGCUCUCCUAUGAAAGCCAUCUCACCAUUCCUUUUCUGAGAGGAGUCCACAGGACCUGUACAGUUGGAACCAGCCCCUCAGGCUUCCCUGACAGAGGCCCUUUUCUCCAGGAGCAGAGGCAUCCAUCCCCUCCUGCCAGCAUUCCAGACACUGGAGGGCUUGCGGGGUGGCAGGUUUUCCCUUGAAUGCUGAGGUGAGGCUGAGGGAAAGGUGCGUGGCCAGGACCAGAAGGCCUGCUGACUGCCAGCUAAAACUCUGGGCAGGAGGCUUUCCCACGUAUUUUAAGAUGAUGACCGAAAUCUUUACUGUCUCCCUGCAAAAUUAAUGUGGCUUCCUCUGGCAUGUCCCAUACUCUUGUGUUUGUGGCCAGACGGGCCCUCCCCUCUUCCUCCAAACUCAUUACUUCUCUCCCUCACAGAACACACAUUGUUCUGCCUGGAAGGCCCAUCACAUCCCUCCCCAACCCUCUCGGUUCAAUCUAAGCUUACUUGGGGUCUCAGCUUAGGUUGCCUGUUCAGGGAAGCCUCUGGGACCCUUAGGUCUAGGUCACAUUUGUUUCAUGCUUUCACAGCGGUGGUGUAGUGUAUACUGGUUCUUCAUUUUUUUUUUUUUUUUUUUUUUUUUGAGACAGAGUCUCGCUCUGUCGCCCAGGCUGGAGUGCAGUGGCGCAAUCUCGGCUCACUGCAAGCUCCGCCUCCCGGGUUCACGCCAUUCUCCUGCCUCAGCCUCCAGAGUAGCUGGGACACACCCGGCUAAUUUGUUUGUAUUUUUAGUAGAGACGGGGUUUCACCAUGGUCUCGAUCUCCUGACCUCGUGAUCCACCCGCCUCAGCCUCCCAAAGUGCUGGGAUUACAGGCGUGAGCCACCGCGCCCGGCAAUUUUUUGUAUUUUUAGUAGAGACGGGGUUUCACCGUGUUAGCCAGAAUGGUCUCGAUCUCCUGACCUCGUGAUUCACCCGCCUCGGCCUCCCGAAAUGCUGGGAUUACGGGCGUGAGCCACUGUGCCCGGCCAGAAGUUACGAUUUUUGAACCAGGGAUCCUUGUGAGGGAGUUGAGCCUCUUCCUCUGAGCUGGCAGGCUGUUCCUUUUUCUCAACCUUGAGGAAAGGAGAUGUCUUUGCUGGCAUAUUAUUGUGCCCUUUAACAAGGAGUUGAAGCAUUUAUUAAAGAGAAUCUAAAGAAAGACAGUGGUUCUGAAAAAGUCAUCACGCUUGAGGUCUUGCAAUAGGCGGUUAACUUAGGGAGGCUAUUCGGCCAGUAGAAGGUACUUGUAAAAGCUUGUAGAUCUUUAUGACUUGCUUGCACAUGAGGGACUGAGUAAUAAAGAGCCAUGAGUCCCUUGAGCAUGAGGUUAUCAAACAAAGUAUACAGGUGAUUUGAGAACUAGGCUUUUGGGGAUCUAUUGUGUAAGGGGGCAGACUUUUUUUUUUUUUUUUUUUUUUUUUUUUUUUUUGAGACAGUCUCGCUCUGUCGCCCAGGCUGGAGUGCAGUGGCGCAAUCUCGGCUCACUGCAAGCUCCACCUCCCGGGUUCACGCCAUUCUCCUGCCUCAGCCUCUCCGAGUAGCUGGGACUACAGGCGCCCGCCACCACGCCCGGCUGAUUUUUUGUAUUUUUGGUAGAGACGGGGUUUCACUGUGGUCUCGAUCUCCUGACCUCGUGAUCCACCCGCCUCGGCCUCCCAAAGUGCUGGGAUUACAAGCGUCAGCCACCGCGCCCGGCCUAAGGGGGCAGACUUGUAUAAGCAGUGACUAUAGUGUCAGAGUGAUCAUGCACUAUAUGAGGUCUAGGGUGACGAAUCCAGCAGUGGGAUAAGUUAGCAGAGGGAGCACUACAUUGGGAAAUCCUUGCUAUAGUUAUCUUGGCCAGGAGCGGUGGCUCACGACUGUAAUCCCAACACUUUGGGAAGCCAAGGCGGACAGAUGACCUGAGGUUGGGAGUUCAAGACCAGCCUGACCAACAUGGAGAAAACCCCAUCUCUACUAAAAAUACAAAAUUAGCCAGGCGUGGUGGCACAUGCCUGUAAUCCCAGCUACUGGGGAGGCUGAGGCAGGAGAAUUGCUUGAACCCAGGAGGCGGAGGUUGCCGUGAGCCGAGAUGGUGAAACUCUGUCUCAAAAAAAAAAAAAAGAAUAAAAAAAAAGGAGUUAUCUUGUCAAGCAAGCAAGGGUCCCCAAAAGACAAACAGGACAAAUAAUGGUGUACAUUUUUAAUUUACUUACCUUUUUUGCAAAAACAAAACAACCAAUCAAACUAAAAAAGACUUUAGAUCUUCCACAGGCUUGCAAACCCACUGUUUUUCUGGCUUCUGAGACAGAAGGGGGCCCCCAGUGGUGCGGCCUUGAUUCAGUGUGAUGUACCCACAGCUUUAUCCCAGCAAGCUUGACUGACGAGUGGGCAUUUAGCAACACCUCCAACAACAGCCCGUCCACUUGAUGGCCAGCUGGUGCUCUGGGCCUUGUUCUCUCCAGGCCUUCUGGAGCACCCAAUCUCCAGGUCAGAAAGAGUGCAGAGCUAUGUCUGUGGGGUAGGAAGUCCUGCUGGAGGCCAGCUUGUGAGUACAAAUUAACAUACCGCCUAAAGCCUUUAUACAUUUAGCAAUUGUUAAAUCCCCCAGAGCCUCAGCAGGCUUCCGUGUUGGAUCAGAAACAUAGAAUACAGUAUUAUAUAAACAUGACACUGAAAAUAUUGUUUUGUAAUGUGUAACUAUAUAUGUUGCUGCUCAGAUGUCUUUAUCACUACCGUUACUUUUUUUGUGUGUUUUUUGAGAUGGAGUCUUGCUCAGUCACCCAGGAUGGAGUGCAGUGGGACGAUCUCAGCUCACUGCAGCCUCCACCUCCCAGGUUCAAGCGAUUCUCCUGCCUCAGCCUCCCAAGUAGCUGGGACUACAGGCACCCACCACCAAGCCCGGCUAAUUUUUUGUAUUUUUAGUAGAGACGGGGUUUCACCGUGUUAGCCAGGAUGGUCUUGAUCUCCUGAUCUUGUGAUCCGCCCGCCUCGGCCUCCCAGUGCUGGGAUUACAGGCGUGAGCCACCGCACCCGGCCAAUAAUUUUUGUUAACAAAUUUCACAUUACACUCUUUGUUUUACUGAAACUACAUCUUCUCUUUCUGAACCGAGCACCGUGGCCUGGCAAGGUCCGUUUUCCAAGGAUCCUGGCUGAGCUCCUGUGGAAGCUGUCCCUUACACUGAUGUGGUCCCUUGGUUGGCAGGCCCUUCUGCGGCCAACCAGGUGACACCUGCCAGUUAUGAGGGACAGGUAGGAGAGGAUGGGCUUUCCAUCAAAAAAAAAAAAAAAAAGGUAAGUUUUCCAAACUGCUUUUCUUUCAUUCAGAUUUUAAUCUUAAGACUAACAUGCAUUUUCUUAUUUUUAUCUCAUAAAGUCCAGAAGUUCUGAUAAUUUCAGUUCUUUUCGGGAGUGCAAAGAAGCAAACUGGCUCUUCAGAGAUUCUAGACUCAGCAGAGGAAUUCACAGCAAGAGUUGGCCGGGCGCGGUGGCUCACGCUUGUAAUCCCAGCACUUUGGGAGGCCGAGGCGGGCGGAUCACGAGGUCAGGAGAUCGAGACCAUCCUGGCUAACAUGGUGAAACCCCAUCUCUACUAAAAAUACAAAAAAUUAGCCGGGCGUGGUGGCGGGCGCCUGUAGUCCCAGCUACUCGGGAGGCUGAGGCAGGAGAAUGGCGUGAACCCGGGAGGCGGAGCUUGCAGUGAGCCGAGAUCGCGACACUACACUCCAGCCUGGGCAAGAGAGCGAGACUCUGUCUCAAACAAACAAACAAAAGAGGUUGACAACCAAAACCCUCCACCAGUUCUUAGAAGCGAUCUCCAAGCAAGAGCAGGAAGAGCAGGGACCCACACUCUGGAGGACUUACAGGUGCCCUCAGUCCUCCCCUCUGCCAUCACUGUCUUGCAUUCAGGAUGAUUUCUCUUUAAAGGUGACAGUUUGUUUAAAUGUCUGUGUUGCCCCAUCUUCUAGAUGAUGCAGUUUUGUCCAUCACAGCUUCAUCCACAAAGCAGCAUUUACCUUUGAGAAACGCUGGGGACAUUGAAGUUUACUUAGAUAUCAAUGUAUGAGUUUCUGUCGGAGCACCAUAAAGUCAUCUUUCCUGAGACUGUGAGGGAUCUCUGUCUUCUGAGGGCCCCGCUGCUGCCUGCCUGCCAGGGUGCCCGAGGAUCAGAUGACGGAACUGCUGAGUUUUUAAAAUCUAGGUAUUUCACUCAUGUGAAAUAUAUGCUAUGAUGCGCCAAGUUGAGUCCACUGUCUUGAACAUGAAAGUCAAGUUGUAGACUGCUUCCUGAAAUGUGCAUGUCAUCCUGAGACCUGAGGAUGAAUAGCAGGGGGCUAGUGAGUGCAAACUGAGGGUGGGGUGGGUGAGAGAUAAGGUUUGUUAUGGAAGAAUAAGAAGGAAAAAAUACGUUUUCUGAGAAAACAGGGCAAAUUGAGAUUGUGAUGGACCAGAAGGAUGUGACAAAUAACGUGUCCCGGUAAAUGAGAAAGGCACCUAAGGCAGGAGUCACUGAGGGACAGCUCCCUUUCUGUACGUAACCAUUUAGUUAUGGUUAAGUCAGUAUUUAAGUUCCACAACCAGGAAGUCACUUUUCAGUGGUUCCAGAGAAUCUAUGCCCUAAACCUGGAGAAGAACAUGAGGUGAUAGUUUCAUUGACUCCAAAGGGUCCCCAAGCCUGCGAGGAAAGGUAACAGAACAAUGUUGAUAACAAAUUUCUCACUCUUGUCACCCAGGCUGGAGUGCAGAGGCGGGGCAAGAGUGAGACUCCAUUUCAAAAAAAAAAAAAAGAAAAAAAAAAGAAAAAUAAUUUGUUGAUCUCCUGGGUUACACCCAAUAAAGAAUAGUAGACUUUGCCAGGUGAGGUGGCUCACGCCUGUAAUCCCAGCACUCUGGGAGGCCGAGGUGGGCGGAUCACGAAGUCAGGAGAUCGAGACCAUCCUGGCUAACAUGGUGAAACCCCGUCUCUACUAAAAAUACAAAAAAUUAGCUGGGCGUGGUGGCGGGCGCCUGUAGUCGCAGCUACUCGGGAGGCUGAGGCAGGAGAAUGGCGUGAACCCGGGAGGCGGAGCUUGCAGUGAGCCGAGAUGGCACCACUGUACUCCAGCCUGGGUGACAGAGUGAGACUCCGUCUCAAAAACAAAACAAAACAAAACACAACAACAACAAAAAAACAGAAAAACCCAUAAUAGUAGUGAUAAGGCUGGGUGCGGUGGCUCACGCCUGUAAUCCCAGCACUUUGGGAGGCCAAGGCGGGCAGAUCACGAGGUCAGGAGUUUGAGACCAGCCUGGCCAACACGGUGAAACCCCGUCUCUACUAAAAAUACAAAAAUUAGCUGGGCGUGGUGGCGGCCCCUGUAAUCUUCUCAGACACCCAACCACCGGCUCCUGAGCCGCGGCAACUUAGUUGCAUUAGAAUAAUGUUUUUUUAAAUUAUUUUCUUGGUAACAAAUGGACACUCGAAAUUUUAUUUAUUUUAAUUUUAAUUUUUUUUAAAGAGUUUCACUCUUGUUGCCCAGGCUGGAGUGCAAUGGCGCCAUCUUGGCUCACUGCAACCUCCACCUCCCAGGUACAAGUGAUUCUCCUGUCUCAGCCUCCCAAGUAGCUGGGAUUACAGGCAUGUGCCACCACACCUGCCUAUUUUUUUUUUUUUUUGUAUUUAGUAGAGAUGGGGUUUCAUCAUGUUAGGCUGGUUGCAAACUCCUGACCUCAGGUGAUCCACCUGCCUUGGCCUCCCAAAAUGCUGAGAUUACAGGCGUAAGCCACUGCGCCUGGGCAAAAUUUUAUUUUUUAAUAAUGCCAAGUGAUUUCAUUUUAAAUUACACUGCACCAUAAAUUGGAUUAUUUUCCUGCAUGAGUACCUUGCUCUUCAAAGAAAAACAUUUUUUAAAGACCAAAUAUAUUGCCUACUUUUUUUAAAAAAAAGCUCUGGCUGUGUGCAUUGGCUUACGCCUGUAAUCCCAACACUUUGAGGGAGGAGGACUGUUUGAACCCAGGAGUUUGAGACCGGCCUGGGCAACACAGUGAGACACUGACUCUACACUAAUCUUUCUUUAAAAGUUAGCCAGGUAUGGUGGUGCACAGCCAUGGUCCCAGACGCUUGGGAGGUUGAGGUGGGAGGAUAGCUUGAGCCUGGGAAGCUGAGGCUGCAGUGAGCUAUGAUUGCGCUCCAGCCUGCGUGAUAGGGCAAGAACCUGUCUCAAAAAAAUGUUCUUAUUAAGAAAUUAUGAGUGACAUUUAUGUUAAAACAGUAUAUUUUAUCUACAAAAGGAGUAAAAGACAGUAAUAGAAAAAUUGGCACGUAAAGGGACAAAAAUGCUAAAAAAUUAAAAUUUACCAAUAAUCCUAUCACCUAAAUUGAUAAUUUUUAAUAGAAUUAAAUGUAGGAUUUUAAAAUAAAUUUCUUUUAUUUAUGUAAA